AGAGCUCAGGGAACUGCAUUUACUAUCUUGUAAUAAAUCAGAAUGGAAAAAAUCAAUAUGCAUGUAGACACACACAUAUCUACAGAUACACAUAUAUAUGUACAACUGAAUCACUUUGCUGUACACCUGAAACUAACAUAAAUAUUGUAAAUCAACUGUAUUGCAAUGAAAAAAAACUUUCCAGAAGGCUCCCCCGAGGAGGAGACCCACAGGUCAGGAGGAAACUACCAAGAAAGGAAUCUGGGGGCAUGGGGGGUGGGGGUGGGGCGAGAUCACAAGCAGUGCGAUGAGAACCGUGGGGAAAGCCUGCGGGUGGCACACUGGGUCCUGCACGCUGAUCAGGGAGGCCUGGCCACACGUGAGUCUCCGCGUGUUUACGCAGCGUGUGUGCAGGCUUGUACACAUGUGUGCACAUCAUGCAUCAUAGAAAGAAAGCUGUGGUGCUGUGUGAGGCCUGAGAGAGGAGCUGGGGCUGGGGCGGGACCAGCUCUGUGCGUUACACUAACUCGCUGCGUCGCUUGUUAUCACGAUACCGAAGGUCCUCUGGUCUGAGGACGCGGCGGACGACGGAGAUGACCAGGUUUAGACGGAUCUCCAUGCAGCAGUGGAGCUGACCUCGGCCACUUCUGUGCCCCGCGUCUCCUGGGACGGAGGCGUUGUCAAACCCCGUGUCAUCUGCCCGCCCGCACAUCUGGCCAUCGUCUCCGCGUCCCUGGUGGCCCGGCGGGAGCGGGGUAGUGGCGCCAGGCUCCUGCCUGGGGACACGUGGAGUGCGCGCCGCCUUCUGGCAGGUCGUCAGCUGCUCAGUGUCAUCUCCAGGGCUGAUGUCAGGAAUACGGGUCUGUCUGGGAGCGGAGGAAGCAGGACUAGAAGAAAGUCUGGUUGGCUGAAGGUUUGCCUCUUCUCUCUUCACUUCUGGAACGUUCCUUCUAGGCAAGGCCCCUGAGCCCUUCUCUCCCAGCCACACCUUGAAGGCGGGUCCUGACCCUCCGCCUGGAGCAGCCUCUCGGCCUCUGCUCCCCACUGUGGCCUCAGGAUUCUGUGGCCACAGACCUGGUCACAGGCCACCGACUUUGUUCACUCACAGGUAAUCUGGGACCUCAGAACUCAAGUAAGAAGAGCUGUGGUUUUUUAUGUUUUUUCAUUUAUUUAUUUUUUCCUUUUUAGGGCCACACCCACGGCAUAUUGGACGGUCCCGGGCUAGGGGUCGAAUUAGAACUGCAGCUGCCGGCCUACAGCACAACCUCAGCAACACAGGAUGCGAGCCGUGUCUGUGACCUAUGCUGUGAGGCCAGGGAUCGAACCGGCAUCCUCACAAAGUUGGGUCCAUAACCCACACAGCCGCCACGGGAACUCCUGGUGUUGCAUUUUGUACAUGCAACAUGCAGUCAUGUCCAGAGAUGCGAUUAAGCAUAGGAGCCCCAAUAAACAGCCAAACGGCUCUAUCCCAAAUUCAAAGGUUCUGCACUUUCUAAGGUACUUCCAACCACUUAGGGGUUCAGAUUCAAGUGUAGUUUCCUACCUGAAUUGUCUAGUGAGAGUGUCUGAUAUGUUUUACUACAAAGAACUGUAUGAAAGCUAAGAAAUGAGAACAGGAAAUUUGAGAUGCUUUAUAUUAUAUUUGUUUCAAAAUGUUUAAAACGUUGCCACUGGAGAAAGGUUCCGACAUGCCUUUAUUCAGUGUUAAGUCUCCUAAGGCCCCCUGGGACCAGCCUCUUUGACCACAGUCAGCUGGUGGACCCAUGUGCUCUGUGCCGGGGCUCCCCUGGGCACAGAGGUCCUGUCGUGGGAGGGGCGGCCUCCCCUCCCCCCUUUCCCCAAGGGCAACCUCUGCCUCCCAGACCAGGGGCUCUCCCACCAGAGCUGGCUAUUGUCUCCCCGACUCUGGCCGGGGGCUUGGACCAGAACUCUCAUCCAGGGUCCAGGAGAGUCACUCUCAAGCCUUGUCUCACCAUUUGGAACCGUCUCCUACUUGUCUGAGUACCUUGUGUUUGGAAAAGCCACUGGCUCCGGAAGCUCUGUGGCCAAGAAGCAGGAAGAGGAAGCAGCUAGGAAGAGCCUAGGUUUUUUCCUAGGAUUAUGGGCAAGAGGUCCUGGCUUCCCUGCAGACUGUUCCAUUGUUCACCAGGAGGCAUGAGCGAAAGAAAGAAUGCAGGAGUUCCCCUGUGGCACAGCAGGUUAAGGAUCUGGUGUUGUCACUGCUGGGGCGAGAGUUUGAUCCCUGGCCCAGGACUUGCCCAUGGCUUGGUGAGGCAAAAAAAUACGUAAAAUAAAAAGAAUGCAGGAGGCUGCACAUAAGACGUUUACUUGGGGUCUUAAGAAUUGCAACCCACAGAAUGAGAGAAAAUAUUUGCAAAUGAAGUAUCUGACAAGGGAUUAAUCUACAACAUUUAUAAACACCUCCUGCAGCUCAAUACCAAAAAAACAAACAACCCCAUCAAAAAAUGGGCAGAAGGUCUAAACAGACAAUUCUCCAAAAAAGACGUAUGACGGCCAAAAACACAUGAGAAGAUGUUCAACAUCACUCAUUAUUAGAGAAAUGCAAAUCAAAGCCACUAUGAGGUACCGCCUUACACUGGCCAGAAUGGCCAUCAUCAAAAAGUCCACAAACAAUUAAUGCUGGAGAGUGUGGAGAAAAGGAACCCUAUUACACUGUUGGUGGGAAUGUAAAUUGGUGCAACCACUGUGGAAAAUAGUAUGGAGGUUCCUCAGAAAACUAAAAAUAGAACUACCAUUUGAUCCAACAAUCCCACUCCUGGGCGUCUAUCCAGAGAAAACCACGACUCAAAAGAUACAUGUACUCCAGUGUUCAUUGCAGCACUAUUUGCAAUAGCCAAGAGACGGAAACAUCCUAAAUGUCCAUCGACAGAGGAGUGGAUAAAGAUGAUGUGGUCCAUAUACACAAUGGAAUAUUACUCAGCCAUUAAAAGGAAAGAAAUAAUGGCAUUGGCAGCAACAUGGAUGGACCUAGAAAUUAUCAGGCUAAGUGAAGUCAGUCAGAUAGUGAGACACCACCACCAAAUGCUAUCACUUACAUGUGGAAUCUAAAAAAAAAGGACACAAUGAACUUCUUUGCAGAACAGAUACUGACUCACAGACUUUGAAAAACCGAUGGUUUCCAAAUGAGACAGGUUGGGGGGUGAGGGAACACACUGAGGGUUUGGGAUGGAAAUGCUGUAAAAUUUGGUUGUGAUGAUCAUUGUACAACUACAAAUGUAACAAAAUUGAGUAAUAAAAAGAAAAGAAAGGAUCAGAGCUUACAAAGACAGACAGCCAGGCAAGGAGAAAAACAGGGAAAAAAGCAACGAGGCUGUUACAAUUUGCCUGGUGGUGGUUGUUCCUAUCGUGGCUCAGUGGGUGGCUCAUAGUGUCCCUGAGGAUGCAGGUUUGAUCCCUGGCCUUGCUCAGCGGGUUAAGGAUCUGGUGUAGCCAUGGCUGUGGUGUAGCCCUCAGCCGCAGCUCUGAUUCAACCCCCAGCCCAGGAACUUCCAUAUGCUGCAGGUGUGGCCAUAAAAAAUAAAAAGUUGCAGGGUGAGUGAGAGACAGAUGCCAGUCAGAAAAUACUCAUCCUUAAGGAAUAUCCUUAUGGCAUCGUAAGUGGUUCAGGGCAGGGGUCCAAUAAAUAGACAGACUGCUCCAAGUUAUUUUAGGGUGAGAGUCCGAUAAGUAUCUUGAGUUUCUGGCAGGUGUUCUGGACACUUCAUCAGGUCAAAGGUGAGAUUCCAUCCAGGCUGAGGCUUGUCUGUCACCUUCCUCUGUGGCCUCGUGGCUGCAUGUCACAGAACUCUCGCAACAGGACCAACUGCAUUUAGACUUUCCUUCCACAGAUGGGAAGGGAGACAGCGACCCAGAGCAGAAAUCACACAUGACGAAACAACCCUAGCGAUUAUACCUGCAAAACCCAACAUCUGUUCGGUUGACACGAAGUGGGCCUGUGUGUUUACACGUACAGUGAAUUCUUGUUUUCUGCAGGUUACCUGCAAGUUGCCGCAAACACUGGAUUAGGAAGACUGAGGCUCUGCUUCCGAGGGAGACACAGGUCGGGGUCCUUCAAGCCUGACAGCACUUUCCUCAGUGGAUCAACCCAUAGCCUGGUCUGCUCUGUGCUCCUUACUGAUUCCUUAACAUGUAACUCACAGCCACCAGCAUGUAACUCAGCCAGAACGAAGCUUCUCCAAUACAUUUUUUCGCCGUAAGGCAGGUCGAAGCCGUCUUGUUCUUAGGACGCUGGACAGCACAGCAGAACUAGACUUGAGAUCUAUUAAAUUAAAUUAAUUAUUUUUGGCAGCACCUGUGGCAUAUGGAGGUUCCCAGACUAGGGGCUGAAUCGGAGCUGUAGCCGCCGGCCUACACCACAGCCACAGCAAUGCAGGAUCCGAGCUGCGUCUGUGACCUAUACCACAGCUCAUGGCAACGCCAGAUCCUUAACCCACUGACCUUGCUCAUCGGAUCGAACCCACAACUUUAUGGUUCCUACUCCGAUUCGUUUUCCACUGCACCAUGACAGGAACUCCUUGAGAUCUGCUUAAAACUAUGAAAUCACCAAGAAAAAGCCUAUGUAUGUGAAAAAAAAAAAAAUGUAGCCCGAAGCGGAGCAGGAAAAUGGCUCUGGUUUGCAGCAUGAGCUGAAACAAGAAGGCACAUCGCAGCUGCGUCUCACCUCAGCUGUGGCCACGCAUGUUGGGUGACCAACUUCACUGUCUUGCACCCGUCCCUGAGUGACCGUGCAAGUGUCAGAAGGACCGAUGUUGGAGUUACAAAUACAUCUUGGCAAGUAGGUGAAUUUGCAGUAGGGAACCUCUGAAUAUUGAGGUUGAACCAUGUAUUAUUUUAUUGAAUCCUCGUAACAACCGUGCAAGAUAGGAAAUAUUAUCACUUUGACUUUCACCGUUGGGAAAUUUGAACAGGAGUUUUGGUUGACUUGCCCAAAAAGCAUAGCUACAAAACCAGGGAAGCCAGGAUUCUAACCCAGGUAGCCUCCAAAAAGGAUAAGAUCUCACACUCUACUAUACAUGGACCAAGCAUAAGCAUUUUUCCCUAAAAGAUACUGAGCAUCGGACUGCUUUUUUCAGAGAAAGUGUGUGAUGUGUUUUUCCGAGGGGUCCUGUAAGGACAUGUUUCCUGUUUCACUGAGAUUAGAUACAAUUCCACUAAAGGCAGUAAGGAUGACAGUAGGUCUUUGGGGCUCCAUCUUUUGACUGUCAGAUUUUAGGGAAGAAUAGGUGACGUCAUGAAACAGUAGAUAUUUCCACAGGACCAUCUAAACUGGAGAGCAAAACCGUGAGGACCCUGGAGUAGUGUAUUUACAGAAAGCUCCAAGAGUCUCUGGAACUCAUGCUAGACAGGCAGCCCUAGUUUUUCAUCCCUGCUCAGCACCGUAGAGAAUAAGAGAGAUGAAAGUCACCGCCCCAUGUGAAGUGUUUACACACGUUCAAAGGUUUGCAGUGUUUGUGCAAAAUUGGAAAGGUGGGUUGGACUAGCUGUUCCUCUUUAGGUAGGGUUUCACACUUUUAAUUUUUUUUUUUU
rnacentral:lncRNA from 1 species